UACAGAGGGGGCAAGCGUUGUUCGGAAUUACUGGGCGUAAAGGGCGCGUAGGCGGCCGCCUAAGUCAGACGUGAAAUCCCUCGGCUCAACCGGGGAACUGCGUCUGAUACUGGGUGGCUUGAAUUCGGGAGAGGGAUGCGGAAUUCCAGGUGUAGCGGUGAAAUUCGUAGAUAUUCGGAAGAACACCAGUGGCGAAGGCGGCUCACUGGACCGGUAUUGACGCUGAGGUGCGAAAGCGUGGGGAGCAAACAGG
rnacentral:rRNA from 1 species